rnacentral:lncRNA from 1 species
AUUUGGUUUAAAUUAAAAUUUUAUUUAUAAAAAUAACUUUUUAUUUUAAAAAUUAAAGAAAAUAACUUCACCUGUUCCAUUUUACUUUUUAUUUUUUUAAGAGCCAGAUUCUUACUCUGUCACCCAGGCUGGCAUGAUCAUAGCUCACUUCAGCCUAGAACUCCUGGCUUCAAGCAAUCCUCCCACCUCAGCAUCCCAAGUAGCUGGAACUACAGGUACGCACCAUCAUGCCCAGCUUCAUUUAUAUAUUUAUCUUUUUUGUUUGUUUUUUGAGACAGGGUCUCCUUCUGUCGCCCGAGCUGGAGUGCAGUGGCACAAUCUUGGCAAACUGCAACCUAUGCUUCUGGGGCUCCCGUGAUCCUCCCACCUCAGCCUCUCCAAUAGCUGGGACUACAAGCGUGUGCCACCAUGCCUCGCUAAUUUUUGUAUUUUUUAGUAGAGACAAGAGUUUGCCACAUUGCCCAGGCUGGUCUCAAACUCCUGAGCCCAAGCCAUCUGCCCACCUCGUCCUCCCAAGGUGCUGGGAUUACAGGGGUGAGCCACUGCACCCUGCCUAUUUAUUUACUUUUCUUAGAGAUGGGGGUCUUGCUUUGUUGCCCAGGCUGGUCUCGAACUCCUGGGCUCAAGCAAUCCUCUCACCUCAGCCUCCCAAAGUGUUGGGAUUACAGGCAUGAGCCAUCUCACCUGGCCAGUAAUGUAUUUCACUCCAAGAACAACUCAUGAAUUAGGAACUGUUAUAAUCCCCCUUCUGCAGGGGAGGAAAGAGAGGCUCAGAGAGGUUAAAUGACUGCUCAGAGUCCCUCAGAGCUGGGCUUUAAGUCCACCUGAGGCAGGCGGACGGGCUGUGCAGGACAAGUUGGCAGCCCCCGCCUUAAGGAGAGUGGUACCCUCUUUCCUCCAGUGCAUUUAUGUUUUAUUUUUAUUUUUGAGACAGAGCCUCACUUUGUCACCCAGGCUGGAGUACAGUGGUGCGAUCUCAGCUCACUGUAACCUCUGCCUCCUGGGUUCGAGCAAUCCUCCUACCUUAGCCUCCUGAGUAGCUGGGACUACAGGCACACACCACCAUGCCUGGCUAAUUUUUGUAUUUUUGGUAGAGACAGGGUUUCACCAUGUUUGCCAGGCUGGUCUCAAACUCCUGGCCUCAAAAGAUCCACCCACCUCGGCCUCCCAAACUGUUGGGAUUAUAGGCGUGAGCCACCGUGCCCGGCCAAGUGCAUUUUUUUGUAAACCCCCGUGCAAGUUGCUUUGAGGUUGAGCAGCUUACUGCUGGGGACAGCAUUCUCAAGUCCAGGCUAAACAGGGAAGAUGCUGUGUGCUGUCCCUUUGUGGCUUUGAGGUUCUCCUGCUUAUUCUCUUUGCUGCCUGCAGCUGCCUCUUGGUGACUUUCCCUUUCCAGGGAGCCAGAGGAACCAAGGAGUGUUGGCCCUGACUCCUGCCCCCAGCAUGUAAACUCAUUAACUGCUGGGUCCUCAGGCAGUUAGGUGGCUGAGCAUUUGAGUCUGGGACGGCAGGUGGAUUUGGUUGGAGAGGGAAUGACAGAGAUUGGGGAGGAGCCUCCAGAGUCUAAAGAGAUAGGUACACAAGCAGAAAGUUCCAGCCCCCAGCCUGCCUUUCCCCCAUGCUCAGGGGACAAAGCUGAAUUAACUCGAGGUCAGGAAUGGCAUUUGCAUUUGCAUUCUUGAGAGUCACUGCAAAUAAGAGCUGUAGUCAUGGUGAGUGGUUAAGGCAAUGGACUAGAGAACCACUGAGAAAAAAAGCGAACAGUGGCUGGGCGCAGUGGCUCAUGCCUGUCAUCCCAGCACUUUGGGAGACCGAAGUGGGUGGAUCACUUGAGGUCAGGAGUUCGAGACCAGCCUGGCCAACAUGGUGAAAACCCGUCUCUACUAAAAAUACAAAAAUUAGCCAGGCUUGUCAGUGGGCACCUAUAAUCCCAGCUAGUCGGAAGGCUGAGGCAGGAGAAUCACUUGAACCCAGAAGGCAGAGGUUGCAGUGAGCUGAGAUCAUGACACUGCACUCCAGCCUGGGUGACAGAGAGAAACUCCGUCUAAAAGAAAAAAAAAAAAAGGAACAGCCGGACAUGGUAGCUCAUACCUGUAAUCCCAGCGCUUUGGGAGACCGAGGCAGGUGGAUCACCUGAGGUCAGGAGUUCCAGAUCAGCCUGGCCAACAUGGUAAAACCCCAUCUCUACUAAAAAUACAAAAAUUAGCUGGAUGUGGUGGCGCACACCUGUAGUCCCAGAUACUCAGGAGGCUGAGGCAGGAGAAUAGCUUGAACCCGGGAGGCGGAGGUUGCAGUGAGCAGAGAUCACGCCACUGCACUCCAGCCUGGGCGAUAGAGUAACAAUCCGUCUCAAAAAAAUCUGAAAAUUAAAAAUUAAAAAGUGAACAGUUGUUUAGUAAGUGCAGUAGGUAGGCCAAGAUAACUAUUAAGUAUGUCCUAACAAGGUAGCUGCUUGAAAAAAAUAAUGCACAUAAAUUAAAAAAAAAAAAACUAUUUUCACUCAUUCUUAACUUCUCGUAUGGAUGUACUAACGGGAGGCCUGUGCCUGUUGGGCUGUCCACAGCUACUCAAACCUUGAGAUUAGAUUGGACGCUAUCUAAUCUCAUUUCCUGUUACACAAUAACUUCUGCAUGGCACUUGCUUUUAAUCAUGACAACUGCCAUACACUCAGCUUUACAAAAUCAUGUCAUUGUGGAAAGGAAGUUCCCUCCAUCUAACAUUCAAAUUUAACUAUCCUGAGCUGGUAGUUUGCAAGGUGUCCAACAGAUGUCACUGUGUUUCCUUCGCAAAUUCUCUAAAAUAGUCUGCUGUGUCCCGGGGCAUAGUAGAUAUUCAAGAAAUGGUGGCUAUGAGUUUUAUCACAAUUCUCUCCUACUGGGUGAGCAGCUGUUUGCAAGACUAAAAUUCGGGCGAGGCACAGGCUUCCCCUUGGUCUUAGCAGCUAGCACAAGACGAGUGUCCCUUCAGCCAGUCUCAGAGCUCUUUGGCAAUUCAACUGACCCUUGUCCUUCAGUCCAGACAAUGCCCCAGGGCCCACCUGCAUUCAAACUCGGACUGUUCUCCUUCCCACCCCUAUUAUCUUUUCAACUUUAUGGACAGUACAUGCAAUUUUCUCAUUCAUUUUCUCAUUUAACAUCUAACAGCUUCAUGAUAUCCCCAUUUUACAGAUAAGGAAACCAAGGCUUUAAGAGGAUAGGGACCCUAAUCGGCUAAGGCAGAAUUAGGAUUUGAACCCAGAUCCCCAUGACGCCAGAAUCUAAGCCUUGACCAAAUAUGUGUUACUAUUACUUUUGUUGUUGUUGUUGUUCUGGGUAACUCCAACCCUCUGCUCGUUGGCCUUGUCACCUCAGUGCUGAUUUUGCAGAUGAAGAGACUAAGGUUCCGAGGUGCUAGAGCACAGUGGUUAGGAACACACACUCUAGAGCCAGAGUGCCUGGGUUUGAGCCUCGUUCUGCCGUUUACUAGCCGUAUGGCCUUGGGCAACUUGCUUAACUUCUCUUUGCCUCAGUUCCUCUUCUCUUGGGUUGUUAGGAGAAUGAAUGAGGUGAUAUCCACAGUGUCCAACACCCUGCAAGCGGCCAGGUGUGGUGGAUCACACCUGCAAUCCCAGCACUUUGGGAGGCCGAGGCAGGUGGAUCAUUUGAGGUCAGGAGUUCGAGACCAGUCUGGCCAACAUGGCGAAACCUCAUUUCUACUAAAAAUACAAAAAUUAGCCGGGCGUGGUGGCAAACAACUGUAAUCCGAGCUACUAGGGAGGCUGAGGCAGAAGAAUCGCUUGAACCCAGGAGACAGAGGUUGCAGUGAGCCAAGAUUGCACCACUGCACUCCAGCCUGGGCGACAGAGUGAGACCCUGCCUCAAAAACUAAAAAUAAAAAAUGAACAGUGUCCAACACCUUGAAAGCAUUCCGCAUGACUGAACGAUCACUGUUACGUGAUUACCAACAUGACGACCCCACUUCUCUUGGCCAAACUGAGUUCUCUUCUCUUGUAAAAACUUCUGCAUAUGAAGUCACCCAUUCCAUUUGACUCUUUAGCCCUCAUCCUGGCAUUCAAGGGCAUGGACGACUCAACCCCACUCUCUAGCCAGCCUGACCUCUCCAUUCCCUUCUCUGGCGUAGAGGCCACUCCCACCACCUGCCCUUACCCCCUGCCCACUUUUGUCAGCCUGUACUGUGUUGAAGCUCCCAGGAGAGACAACUGCAGUCAUCACUUUCCACUGUGUUCAGUGAUGUCAGUUCGGCCCAGCUGGAGGUACUCACAUCAUGGAAACAGACCAUCAGAUUUGGUGUGUGUGUGUUUUAUUUUGCUUUUUCAGAGAGCCAGCUGUUAAACACUAGCCAACACCCCAUUGAUGCUGUUCCUUCUACCUGAAACACCUCGCAUUGCCGGUGAGCUCUAAAGACAAAAGGACCUGGGUCUGCAUUUCCCAAAGGCAAGACUCUGCUGCUCCCUCUACCUGGAAACCUCCAUUUGUCAAGCUGCUGCUGUCUUCAAGAUCUACCUGGUCAGAAUCUCCUGCUGUCCUCUUCUGCCACCCACAGCAAUGUGAGCCUUCACUGGCUGGCCUUCCCUACUCACUGGAGCAGAGCUACGGCAUCAGAAUGCCCUGGAGCAGGGGUUAGAAACACAGAUUUCUGAGUCUACACUCGAAGAUUUUUUUUUCUUUCUUUCUUUUUUUUUGUUUUCCAAUUUUUCUAAUUUUAGAGAUGGGGUCUCACCACGUUGCCCAGGCUGGUCUCAAGCUCCUGGACUCAGGUCAUCCUACCACCUAGGCCUUCUAAAGUGUUAGGAUGAGCCCUGAACCUUGUAACAUGAACAUUUAUUAGUUAUAUCUGGAAAAAAAUAUAAAGUUAUUUUUAUUUGGGUGAUACUGCCUUCAAAAAACAAAAACAAAAAAAAACAGGAGGCCGAGCACAGUGGCUCAUGCCUGUAAUCCCAGUGCUUUGGGAGGCUGAGGCAGGCGGAUCACUUGAGACCAGGAGUUCAAGACCAGCCUGGCCAACAUAGUGAAACCCCGCUUCUAUUAAAAAUACAAAAAUGGGCCAGGCACGGUGGCUCAUACCUGUAAUCCCAGCACUUUGGGAGGCCGAGGCGAGUGAAUCACGAGGUCAAGAGAUCAAGACCAUCCUGGUAAACAUGGAGAAACCCUGUCUCUACUAAAAAUACAAAAAUUAGCUGGGCACGGUGUCACGUGCCUGUAGUCCCAGCUACUAGAGAAGCUGAGUCAGCGGAAUCGCUUGAACCCAGGAGGUAGAGGUUGCAGUGAGCUGAGAUUGCACCACUGCACUCCAGCCUGGGCGACAGAGUGAGACUCUGUC